rnacentral:lncRNA from 1 species
GUUCUUUGUUCCUAGUUCACUUCAACCCCACGAUCCUAAGCACACCUGUACCUGCCCUGGAAUCCCUCAGCCAUGUUUGUCCCACAGAGCAUCACUAUCAAACAGUUCACUGUGGACUCCUCGUAGCAGAAGUACAGUAGGGGACAGCAAGUGUCAGCUCCAUCAGGACCCCUGAUUUAAUUAUUUACUGUGGAACCAUUGUCCUGAGUCAGGAGGAUAGAUGAGGAAAGAAUGAGAGCGUGGCUGGCAUCGCUUCAUGAUUACAUUCUGGGAAAGAUCUUGCCUGUUAACCUCUAGAGAAGGAGGGACGAUACAGACAAUGAAGACUAUAGCAGACUGAAUUACUCUCUGAGAUGAGGACUUUGCUAUUGCCAUUGCAGAACCACUGGUGGAAGUUGUUGUUAAACAGUGGGUCUUGCAUGCAAGCUCUACAGUUAUGCACAGUAUUUCCAUGACAUCCCAAGCCAUGAGGUUCAUGCUGCCAUAUCCCCCUGUUUAACAAGUGUGGAAACUGAUAAUGGACUCACAAUUGCUGAUGUAUAGGUUCUAAUGUUUUCUAUUGUGGACACGGGACACCCAGACUGAGAACCAAUGGCUCCAGUCUGAUUUAAACAUGGGUCCGUGCUCACACACUCAAUACCUACCCUCUGUGCUCACAAGUCCUGUAUGAUUUACACAGCCUAGCUGGAUCAGGAGCCCCCUAAUAAGCUGCUUCAGAUUGUAAUAUAGACACAGUAAUGUAUGCCUGCAGGAUGAGUCCCACCUUCUUCAUUAGUCUUGAGGUUUGAGAUUCCCUGUUUGUGUCUGCAGGAUUCAGAUAGUAAUGGAUAUCCUGCAAGUCGGCUUCGUAGAGUCUCCCUUGAAAGUGGACCUCAUGAUCUAGCCUUUAUGUCCGUGGAUUGACACUGUGAUGGAUUCCCCCCAAGUUCAUUUAGAUAUUCUCUCUUAUUCAUAAAUGUCACGGUCAGCUCUGUUCUUAUAGAUACCAGAAUGGAUACCCCUAAGCUGAUGUAUAUACACCCUUCCUCGGUUGUGAGAUUCCUGCUCUGGUGGUUGUAGUCAUAAGAUAUACAUCGUUGCGUACACCUUGGUUGUGGGCACGCACACUACUGUUGAAUUACCACCUUGUCCAAGUGGAUGGAUGCCCUCAAUGGGAUUGGCACUUUCUCCAUUGCUCCUGCACUCUGUUAUCAGCACUUCGGGUUCAUAAUGUACACACAGCAAUGGAUUUUCUGCAGCUGAUUUUCUAUAUUCUGUUUUCUUCGGGUAAGCAGA